UGUAGUGCUAUGUCUGAGAGGUUUCUAUUGUACAUAGUUCCUGGGGUAAUCCUUGUGAGUGUGUAUAUUUCCUCAAUAGACCAUCAACAUUGUUUGGCCUUUUUAUUGUUGUACCUGAAAGGCUGCUUGUGGGUGUUCCCAACCUCACAACAUGUUUCGGUAGCACAUACAUAGCCAAACUUUAUAAAUUCAU